CUUCAUAAGCUAAUUGAGGGCAUAUGAAGUGCACGUGACAGUCUAUGGCGCCUGCAGUCACAAUCAUUCCUUCCCCAGCAAUGACCUCAGUGUUAACCUAAGUAAUAAAGAAGAAGGUGCAAAGCAUUAUUGACUUCCUGAUCAGUUUUCUUCCCAAACUUCUUAAUAUGAGAUGAUAUUUACCCCAAUGGUCAUAUUUACACCAUCCAUAACAUCUGGAUUGCCUGAUUUUCCAACGGCAAAUAUAUUACCCUCUUUGAUACCAAUAUCUGCCUUAAAGAUCCCGCUAUAAUCAAUGAUCACAGCAUUGGUUAUAACAGUAUCCAACGAAUUGGCUGGUUGGUUCCCAGAUGACUGGCCCAUUCCGUCUCUUAUA
rnacentral:sRNA from 1 species